rnacentral:rRNA from 1 species
CCUACGGGUGGCAGCAGUAGGGAAUCUUUCACAAUGGGCGAAAGCCUGAUGGAGCAACGCCGCGUGCAGGAUGAAGGCCUUCGGGUUGUAAACUGCUUUUAUAAGCGAGAAAUAUGAUGGUAACUUAUGAAUAAGGAUCGGCUAACUACGUGCCAGCAGCCGCGGUCAUACGUAGGAUCCGAGCAUUAUCCGGAGUGACUGGGUGUAAAGAGUUGCUUAGGUGGCAUAAUAAGUAGCUAGUGAAAUCUGGUGGCUCAACCAUUCAGACUAUUAGCUAAACUGUUAAGCUCGAGACCGGUGGGGGUAACUGGAAUUUCUAGUGUAGGAGUGAAAUCCGUAGAUAUUAGAAGGAACACCAAUAGCGUAGGCAGGUUGCUGGGACGGUUCUGACACUAAGGCACGAAAGCGUAGGGAGCAAACGGGAUUAGAUACCCCUGUAGUC